rnacentral:rRNA from 1 species
AUUGAACGCUGGCGGCAGGCCUAACACAUGCAAGUCGAGCGGAUGAAGGGAGCUUGCUCCUGGAUUCAGCGGCGGACGGGUGAGUAAUGCCUAGGAAUCUGCCUGGUCGUGGGGGAUAACGUCAGGUAACGGGCGCUAAUACCGCAUCCGUCCUGAGGGUGAAAGUGGGGGUUCUUCGGACCUCACGCUAUCAGAUGAGCCUAGGUCGGAUUAGCUAGUUGGUUGGGUAAAGGCCUACCAAGGCGACGAUCCGUAACUGGUCUGAGAGGAUGAUCAGUCACACUGGAACUGAGACACGGUCCAGACUCCUACGGGAGGCAGCAGUGGGGAAUAUUGGACAAUGGGCGAAAGCCUGAUGCAGCCAUGCCGCGUGUGUGAAGAAGGUCUUCGGAUCGUAAAGCACUUUAAGUAGGGAGGAAGGGCAGUAAGUUAAUACCUGGCUGUUUUGACGUUACCAACAGAAUAAGCACCGGCUAACUUCGUG